GUAGGGAAUAUUGGGCAAUGGAUGCAAGUCUGACCCAGCCAUCCCGCGUGCCGGAAGAAGGCCCUCAGGGUUGUAAACGGCUUUUGACGGUGAAGAAUCGACAGGAUGCGUCCAGUUUUGACGGUAGCCGUUGAAUAAGCACCGGCUAACUCCGUGCCAGCAGCCGCGGUAAUACGGAGGGUGCGAGCGUUGUCCGGAUUUAUUGGGUUUAAAGGGUGCGUAGGCUGGAAGGUCAGUCAGCGGUGAAAAGCUGUCGCUUAACGAUAGUCUUGCCGCAGAUACUUCCUUUCUUGGAUGAGGAGGAGGCCACUGGAACGGAUGGUGUAGCGGUGAAAUGCAUAGAUAUCAUCCAGAACACCGAUUGCGAAGGCAGGUGGCUGUACCUUAAUCGACGCUGAUGCACGAAAGCAUGGGGAGCAAACAGGAUUAGAUACCCUAGUAGUCC
rnacentral:rRNA from 1 species